rfam:Ovis aries breed Texel chromosome 4, whole genome shotgun sequence.
UCCCUGGUGGCUCAGACAGUAAAGCGUCUGCCUACAAUGUGGGAAACCCAGGUUCAAUCCCUGGGUUGGGAA